rnacentral:tRNA from 1 species
GGCCCAGUGCGCAUUGGACUGCAAAUCCAGAUUACGGUAGGAUUACCCCUGGGCUU